CUGCUCUUUCCUGCAGUUGGAGCUAUUAAAUGAAGUUAAUUUAAGAGCCAUCAUCUAUUAGAUGAGAAAAUGUGUCACCAUAAUAAUGAUGAAUGAAAAUACUGCUCGUUAUAAAGUCAAGGAAGCUACCCUGUGAAACUGGGCUAUCAUUCGGCAGUGUUGUUGAGUUUUCCCUUCUAAAUUCAGGAUAUAGGUUAUUACAAGAUAUUGAGGGACUUCCCUGGUGGCACAGUGGUUAAGAAUUUGCCUGCCAGUGCAGGGGACACAGGUUCGAGCCCUGGUCCGGGAAGAUCCCACAUGCUGCGGAGCAACUAAGCCCGUGCGCCACAACUACUGAGCCUGCGCUCUAGACCCCUUGAGCCACAACUACUGAACCCAUAUGCCACAACUACUGAAGCCCACGUGCCUAGAGCCCGUGCUCCACAACAAGAGAAGCCACCGCAAUGAGAAGCCUAUGCACCGCAACAAAGAGUAGCCCUCACUCGCCACAACUAGAGAAAGCCUGCGCACAGCA